AUGAUUGCGGAUCGUUGCCUUUCGUGCUGGCUCUCGCGAGAGAGCAAGUGCACAUCGGUGACUUUCUCAUCCACUACUACCCUGUGCACCUUUGGCCUCUUGCUUGCUUCGGCCGGCAGAGGAAUUUACACACACUCGAAUGUAAUGAAAUAUAUUGUCGUGCGCAAGCACUAAUGUA
rnacentral:misc_RNA from 1 species